GACGAACGCUGGCGGCGUGCAUAACACAUGCAAGUCGAACGGAAAGGCCUUUUCGGCGGUACUCGAGUGGCGAACGGGUGAGUAACACGUGGGUGAUCUGCCCUGCACUCUGGGAUAAGCCUGGGAAACUGGGUCUAAUACCGGAUAGGACCGCACUUUAGUGUGUGUGGUGGAAAGUUUUUUCGGUGUAGGAUGAGCCCGCGGCCUAUCAGCUUGUUGGUGGGGUAAUGGCCUACCAAGGCGGCGACGGGUAGCCGGACUGAGAGGUUGGUCGGCCACAUUGGGACUGAGAUACGGCCCAGACUCCUACGGGAGGCAGCAGUGGGGAAUAUUGCACAAUGGGCGCAAGCCUGAUGCAGCGACGCCGCGUGGGGGAUGACGGCCUUCGGGUUGUAAACUCCUUUCGCCAGGGACGAAGCGUUUUGUGACGGUACCUGGAGAAGAAGCACCGGCUAACUACGUG
rnacentral:rRNA from 1 species